rfam:Brachypodium distachyon strain Bd21 chromosome 3, whole genome shotgun sequence.
CCACUUGCAAAAGAUGAACUCAUCUCCUAUAUUCUAGCAGGGCUCGACAAGAACUACAAUCCUCUUGUGUCGGCUCUGGAUGCACGCACAGAGGAGGUCACUCUCGAUGAACUGUUCGCGCAAAUGUUGAACUUCGACC